AGUGCUAUUGCUGGAUCAUAUGGUAAGAGUAUGUUUAGUUUUGUAAGAAAUUGCCAAAUUGCCUUCCAGAGUGACUGGACCAUUUUGCAUUCCACCAGCAAU
rnacentral:pre_miRNA from 1 species